rnacentral:misc_RNA from 1 species
AGAUGAUUGCUGCUAUUGAUGCUGUACGAGUGAGAGGAGACUCUGUUGGUGGUGUUGUAACUUGCAUUGUUAGAAAUCUCCCACGGGGUCUUGGUACACCAGUCUUCGAUAAACUUGAAGCUGAGCUAGCCAAAGCUUGCAUGUCAUUACCUGCGACAAAGGGUUUUGAGUUUGGCAGUGGCUUUGCAGGCACGUUCAUGACUGGUAGCGAGCAUAAUGAUGAAUUCUAUAUGGAUGAGCAUGGCCGAAUCAGGACAAGAACCAACAGAUCUGGUGGAAUCCAGGGCGGUAUAUCAAAUGGAGAAGUUAUCAAUAUGAGAAUAGGUUUCAAGCCAACUUCAACUAUUUCUAGGAAGCAGCAAACUGUGACAAGAGACAAACACGAAACAGAACUCAUCGCUAGGGGUCGCCAUGAUCCUUGUGUGGUUCCCCGAGCUGUUCCAAUGGUUGAAGCAAUGGUCGCCUUGGUGCUUGUUGAUCAGUUAAUGGCUCAGUAUUCACAGUGUAUGAUGUUCCCAAUCAAUCCUGAACUACAGGAACCUUUGCAGUCAUCACCUGAAUCAGCUGAGGUUACCCUCUGAACGGAGCAAACAGACAUAAACCGUCAAAUAACUUCUGGAUAAAUUGAGAAAUUUUUAGUUCUUCCUGAAUAGUGUACUACUUGUGGUUUUUCUUUUUUAUAGAUAUCUCCUGUUUGCCUCUUUAUAGAGUUACAGCAAUGUAUAAGUUUUGUGUGAUGGACUAGGCAAUCUUAGGUUCUUGUUCCACAUAAAACCUCAUGUUGUACCUUUGUUCCUUCCCAGCCUGCUUAUCUUCCGCUCGGAGUUAAGAAUUUGUCAUUACUUGAGUCCAGGUAAAAUUGUUAUUGUGAUAUGUAUGAAUAUGCUAAUUCAUUUUGUUUAAAAUUUAAU